ACUCCUACGGGAGGCAGCAGUGGGGAAUAUUGCACAAUGGGCGCAAGCCUGAUGCAGCCAUGCCGCGUGUAUGAAGAAGGCCUUCGGGUUGUAAAGUACUUUCAGUCAGUGAGGAAGGUGGUAUGUUAAUAGUACAUACUCAUUUGACUGUUAGCUGCAGAAGAAGCACCGGCUAAACUCCGUGCCAGCAGCCGCGGUAAUACGGAGGGUGCGAGCGUUAAUCGGAAUUACU
rnacentral:rRNA from 1 species